rnacentral:rRNA from 1 species
CCUACGGGAGGCAGCAGUGGGGAAUAUUGGACAAUGGGGGGAACCCUGAUCCAGCCAUGCCGCGUGUGUGAAGAAGGCCCUCGGGUUGUAAAGCACUUUCAGUGAGGAAGAACGCCUGGUGGUUAAUACCCAUCAGGAAAGACAUCACUCACAGAAGAAGCACCGGCUAACUCCGUGCCAGCAGCCGCGGUAAUACGGAGGGUGCGAGCGUUAAUCGGAAUUACUGGGCGUAAAGCGCGCGUAGGUGGCUUGAUAAGCCGGUUGUGCAAGCCCCGGGCUCAACCUGGGAACGGCAUCCGGAACUGUCAAGCUAGAGUGCAGGAGAGGAAGGUAGAAUUCCCGGUGUAGCGGUGAAAUGCGUAGAGAUCGGGAGGAAUACCAGUGGCGAAGGCGGCCUUCUGGACUGACACUGACACUGAGGUGCGAAAGCGUGGGUAGCAAACAGGAUUAGAUACCCUAGUAGUC